rnacentral:rRNA from 1 species
GACGAACGCUGGCGGCGUGCUUAACACAUGCAAGUCGAACGGAGUACCCUUGAUUGAGGUUUCGGCCAAAUGAUAGGAAUACUUAGUGGCGGACUGGUGAGUAACGCGUGAGGAACCUGCCUUUCAGAGGGGGACAACAGUUGGAAACGACUGCUAAUACCGCAUAAUGUGCAGAGGGGACAUCCCUUUUGCACCAAAGAUUUAUCGCUGAAAGAUGGCCUCGCGUCUGAUUAGCUAGUUGGUGGGGUAACGGCCCACCAAGGCGACGAUCAGGAGCCGGAUUGAGAGAUGGGCCGGCCACAUUGGGACUGAGAGACGGCCCAGGCUCCUACGUGAGGCAGCAGUGGGGAAUAUUGGGCAAUGGACGCAAGUCUGACCCAGCAACGCCGCGUGAAGGAAGAAGGCUUUCGGGUUGUAAACUUCUUUGACAGGGGAAGAGUAGAAGACGGUACCCUGAAAACAAGCCACGGCUAACUACGUGCCAGCCGCCGCAGUAA